AAUAAGUUUUGUAUAAAAUAGUAAUUAUUUUAUUAUAUAAGAACAUUUAUAUAUUUAGUAGUGGUGAAUGAAAUUUAAUUAGUGGAUGUUAAGUACUGUAAGGGAAUAUUGUGAAUUUAGAAAAAGCAGUUAUAUAAGAAUGUACCUUUUGUAUCAUGGUUUAGCAAGAUUUAAUUGUAAGAUUAUUUUUCUCGAAACUUAAUGAGUUACUAUAAUUUAUUUUUAGAAUUUAUCUGUGUGAGUGUGGCACAACUUUUGGAAAAAAUUAUAGUGGAAAUGAUAUUUUAUUCGUAUUAGGUGAUAGCUAGUUUUUUUAGAAAUACAUAUAAGUGUAGAUUUAUAUUAGUGACUGAUGAAAAUUUAUUGAUGUGGUCUUGUAGUAUAAAAUUGAUUUAAUUAAGGCUAAUCUUGGUUAAUUUAAGAAAAAGUGAUGUUAAUGAAUUAAAUAAUAUGUAGGCUUGAAAUUAGCCUUUAUAUUAAGAUUGUUAUAAAGUAUUAUUAAAAUCAUGGAAAAUUUAUUUGUUAUUUAAUCUUAAAUAUAUAAAAACGUAUAAUAAAACUAUAUUGUAUUAUAACGUUUAUGCUAGAAUGAGUAUUUGAAAUAAUUUUAUUAGAAGGUGAUGGAAUUUUUAAUAUUACUUUUAUUUUUUGUGUUAAAUACAAAUAAGGAACUCGGCAAAUACAUUAUUUCGCCUGUUUAUCAAAAACAUGUCUUUUUGUUAUAGGAAAAUAAAAAGUCUGACCUGCCCAGUGAACUAAGGUUAAACGGCCGCGGUACCUUGACCGUGCAAAGGUAGCAUAAUCAAUUGUCUUAUAAUUGAAGACUGGAAUGAACGGUUAAACGAAAUUAAAGCUGUCUCAUUUGUAUUAUUUAAAAAUUAGCUUUUAGAUGAAGAGAUUUAGAUUUUAUUAAUAGACAAGAAGACCCUAUUGAGCUUUAAAUAAUUUUGAGGUUAUUAUUAUUUUUAAAAAUUAAAGUCUUAAAUAUUUUUUAGUUGGGGCGACUAAGGAACAGUUAAAGCUUCCUGUAUGAUGUUGUAACUUAUGUGUUUUGAUCCAGUAUAAUCUGAUUGAAAGAGAUAGUUACCAUAGGGAUAACAGCAUAAUCUUCUUUGAGAGUUCAUAUCGAAAAGAGGGGUUGUGACCUCGAUGUUGGACUAAAAUAUCCUAAAGGUGUAGCAGUUUUUGAGGGUUGGUCUGUUCGACCAUUAAAAUUUUACAUGAUCUGAGUUCAGACCGGCGUAAGCCAGGUCAGUUUCUAUCUUUAAUUAGUAGUUUAAUUUUAGUACGAAAGGACCAAAUUAAAGGAUGGGUUGUCUUGAUUUUGAAUUUAUAUAAUUUUUGAUUUAAUAUUAUUU
rnacentral:rRNA from 1 species